rnacentral:RNase_P_RNA from 1 species
CGGCGAAGGGAAGGUAUUCGCCCGUCAGCGAUUGGCGGGAGGAAAGUCCGGACACCGCAGGGCAGGAUUCCCGGUGAAAGCCGGGGCGGGGGGUCGGAGGGUCCUCCGACGGAAAGUGUCACAGAAAAUAAACCGCCCACGCAGGUGGGUAAGGGUGAAAAGGUGGGGCAAGGGCCCACCGCAUCUCCGAGCAAUCGGGAUGGCAGGAUAAACCCAAUCCGGUGCAAGACAGAAUAGGAGGCCGGGCGGCCCGCCCAGUGGUCUCGGGUUUGUCGCACCCAUCGGCUCCUUUUCGGAGGAGUACGGGGAGUUUCCGUUGCCGGAGACUAGAUAAAUGAAUGCCGCGGCGGAAACGCCGUCACAGAAUCCGGCUUACCCUUCGCCGGGGU